rnacentral:rRNA from 1 species
CAGUAGCCGCGGUAAUACGGAGGGGGCUAGCGUUGUUCGGAAUUACUGGGCGUAAAGCGCACGUAGGCGGCUUUGUAAGUUAGAGGUGAAAGCCUGGAGCUCAACUCCAGAAUUGCCUUUAAGACUGCAUCGCUUGAAUCGCGGAGAGGUGAGUGGAAUUCCGAGUGUAGAGGUGAAAUUCGUAGAUAUUCGGAAGAACACCAGUGGCGAAGGCGGCUCACUGGACGCGUAUUGACGCUGAGGUGCGAAAGCGUGGGGAGCAAACAGGAUUAGAUACCCCGGUAGUCCCUGUCUCUUAUAC